CCUACGGGUGGCAGCAGUGGGGAAUAUUGCACAAUGGGGGAAACCCUGAUGCAGCGACGCCGCGUGAGUGAAGAAGUAUUUCGGUAUGUAAAGCUCUAUCAGCAGGGAAGAAAUAGCGACCUUUGGGUCGCCAGACGGUACCUGACUAAGAAGCCCCGGCUAACUACGUGCCAGCAGCCGCGGUAAUACGUAGGGGGCAAGCGGUAGCCGGAUUUACUGGGUGUAAAGGGGGCGUAGACGGCAGCACAAGUCUGGAGUGAAAGGGCGGGGGUUAACCCCGGAACUGCUUUGGAAACUGGGCAGCUAGAGUGCAGGAGAGGUAAGUGGAAUUCCUAGUGUAGCGGUGAAAUGCGUAGAUAUUAGGAGGAACACCAGUGGCGAAGGCGGCUUACUGGACUGUAACUGACGUUGAGGCUCGAAAGCGUGGGGAGCAAACAGGAUUAGAUACCCCUGUAGUC
rnacentral:rRNA from 1 species